AACGAACGCUGGCGGCGUGCCUAACACAUGCAAGUCGAGCGGGAAAGUUCCCUUCGGGGAGCGAGUACAGCGGCGAACGGGUGAGUAACACGUAGGCAACCUACCCCGGAGACCGGGAUAACCUGUCGAAAGGCGGGCUAAUACCGGAUAAGACCACGAGGGCCUCGGCCCUUGAGGUAAAAGGUGGCCGUCUGCUUGCAAGCUAUCACUCCAGGAUGGGCCUGCGCGCCAUUAGCUAGUUGGUGAGGUAACGGCUCACCAAGCGAGAUGGCUAGCUGGUCUGAGAGGAUGGCCAG
rnacentral:rRNA from 1 species